UACCAGACUCCUACGGGAGGCAGCAGUGAGGGAUAUUGGGCAAUGGGGGAAACCCUGACCCAGCGACGCCGCGUGAGGGAAGACGGUCUUCGGAUUGUAAACCUCUGUCUUUGGGGACGAAAAAGGACGGUACCCAAGGAGGAAGCUCCGGCUAACUACGUGCCAGCAGCCGCGGUAAUACGUAGGGAGCGAGCGUUGUCCGGAAUUACUGGGUGUAAAGGGCGUGUAGGCGGGGACGCAAGUCAGAUGUGAAAACCAUGGGCUCAACCUGUGGCCUGCAUUUGAAACUGUGUUUCUUGAGUACUGGAGAGGCAGACGGAAUUCCUAGUGUAGCGGUGAAAUGCGUAGAUAUUAGGAGGAACACCAGUGGCGAAGGCGGUCUGCUGGACAGCAACUGACGCUGAGGCGCGAAAGCGUGGGGAGCAAACAGGAUUAGAUACCCUAGUAUC
rnacentral:rRNA from 1 species